AGCGAACGCUGGCGGCAGGCCUAACACAUGCAAGUCGAACGAAGUCUUCGGACUUAGUGGCGGACGGGUGAGUAACACGUGGGAACGUGCCUUUAGGUUCGGAAUAACUCAGGGAAACUUGUGCUAAUACCGAAUGUGCCCUUCGGGGGAAAGAUUUAUCGCCUUUAGAGCGGCCCGCGUCUGAUUAGCUAGUUGGUGAGGUAAAGGCUCACCAAGGCUACGAUCAGUAGCUGGUCUGAGAGGAUGACCAGCCACAUUGGGACUGAAACACGGCCCAAACUCCUACGGGAGGCAGCAGUGGGGAAUCUUGCGCAAUGGGCGAAAGCCUGACGCAGCCAUGCCGCGUGGAUGAUGAAGGUCUUAGGAUUGUAAAAUCCUUUCACCGGUGAAGAUAACGACUGUAGCCGGAGAAGAAGCCCCGGCUAACUUCGUGCCAGCCGCCGCCGUAAAAC
rnacentral:rRNA from 1 species